UGAGGAAUAUUGGUCAAUGGGCGAGAGCCUGAACCAGCCAAGUAGCGUGCAGGAAGACGGCCCUAUGGGUUGUAAACUGCUUUUAUGUGGGGAUAAAGUGCGUGACGUGUCAUGCAUUGCAGGUACCACAUGAAUAAGGACCGGCUAAUUCCGUGCCAGCAGCCGCGGUAAUACGGAAGGUCCGGGCGUUAUCCGGAUUUAUUGGGUUUAAAGGGAGCGUAGGCUGUCUAUUAAGCGUGUUGUGAAAUAUACCGGCUCAACCGGUGGCUUGCAGCGCGAACUGGUCGAGUUGAGUAUGCAGGAAGUAGGCGGAAUUCAUGGUGUAGCGGUGAAAUGCUUAGAUAUCAUGACGAACUCCGAUUGCGCAGGCAGCUUACUGUAGCAUAACUGACGCUGAUGCUCGAAAGUGCGGGUAUCAAACAGG
rnacentral:rRNA from 1 species